GCGGGGUUAGCUCAGUGGGAGAGCGUCUGCCUUACAAGCAGAGGGCCGGGGGUUCGAAUCCCUCACUCCGUAC
rnacentral:tRNA from 4 species